GUGGGUGGUUCUAAGAGGUUCAGACUCAAGUAUGAAGGAAGGUCUGAUCGAUUGGUGGCUAGUCGAGUUCUAAGGGCUAAAACUCUUGAAGUAAGGUGAAGGAGGAGCACUGUCUUUGAUUCAAUUGAAUUUGAAAGGUUGAAAUAAAAUGUAGUUGACUAAAUUAGGGUUGACAGUUAAAUCCUAGAUCACCUUGAGUAUUAGGAUCAAAGG
rnacentral:lncRNA from 1 species